rnacentral:lncRNA from 1 species
CUGGGAUGUCAUAACGAAACUAGAUAUGUUUAAUUGAGCAGCGGAAGAAGGAAAACAGCCACAGCUCCGCGGCAAAGAAGGAAAUAUAGGCAGUGUACCAGGGGAUACAACUAAGCAUCACAUGCUUUGUCCAUGUCGCACAAAAUUACCGGACUGUGACUACCAAAAUUAGCUGAUAACACAAUACAACAAGCAACAUCAUCAAAAUCAACCCCAUUUCCUGGGGCUUCUGCUGCCACGACCCUUUGCUAUGGAGCAGAGGACGAACUAGGCGAUGAGCCUGGCCAGGUCGAUCUGUUUGCUCUCUGUCAGCAAUGCCAUGCUUCACUCCGGCCAUGACAAUGAAAAGAAUCAGCAUAGUAAAGUUUUACAAAGGUGUAAAAGGAUUACUAUGGUUUUUGCUCAACAUUGCAACAAAUGUUCUUUUCUUGAGAUCUACUGAUCUGCAUCAUAAGCCCUAUGAACAGUUCGAUUUUCUUAUAUGCAUCAGUAAAAGUAAUAGGCAUCAGGUUGCAAAAAUAAAGUUCUUUCAUUUCUAUGUUGCAUUGUCCAUGUGUUAAACAAGCAAAUCCCCAAGACUGGAACACUGCAUAAAUUACUUGGUUUGAAAUAGUACAGAAUCCCACACCAUCUACAGAAUCCCACAAAUAAAAAUACUUGGAUCGAAUCCCACAAAUAAAAAUACUUGGAUCGAAUCCCACACCAUCUACAGGAUCCCAUCCAUACGGUUCAACAAUGAAGGAUCGAAUCCCACAAAUAAAAAUGAAUGACUCAAGUUGAUGGUUUAAAGCACCAGCAUGUAUUAUACUCCCUCCGUCUCAAAAUUCUUGUCUUAGAAGGCAUCUAGUCACAUUUUAGUAUUUAGAUACAUUCAUCUCUAGACAAAGCUAAGACAAGAAUUUUGAGACGGAGGGAGUACAUAAUAAGGGAGGAAAACUUAAAUACAUUAUGAGUCUGUCCACCAUAGUACACAAGUUAUACUUGAUAAUAUUGUCUCAUUAUGAGCAGAUGGUUGAAACCCAUGCGAAGAUUUAUUCUACUGUUGCAUCUACUGGCGCAUGCAGAUGAUGACAAAUGCAAUUCAGAUGUUCAGCGCAAUACACGCAGGCGUAGCAGCAACAUGCCGAUUCAGAUCAAUUGUACUUGAACACAAAACAUUGGUCUUAAAGUCAAGAAACAGUUACCCUUACAGGACCAGUUUUUAACUAAAAUAAACAUCAGGUCUUGCGCAAGACUAGGCCACAAAACCCUGUGACAAGAUGACUAGGCAGAACCAUAAAUUAGACUGGGGAACACCCAGAGGCUACUUAGUAAACUGUAGUCGCAAGGGUAUGCACGACCAUAGAAUAGGUACUGAACUGUUUUUUCUUGCACUGGCUGACCAAGCUCAACCGCAACCCAAGAUUCAUAAGGUUCUUCAAGUAGCUUGGCAACCCUAGAUUCAGCAGGGUCUUCAAGUAGCUUGGCAGCAUAAAUGCAGUUACUCUUUCCUCCCCAUCUUUCCGGGCUCAUGCAGGAGAAUGUAGGAUUCCUCUUAUCAAGGCUAAUAAACAGGGCAUAAUUUUCCAACUUGUCCAUCUUCACAAACUUAGCUGGCUCGACAGCAAGGUCAAGGCGGAAGACAUCGAAGGUGUGACUAUAUGUGCCGUGCCAAUGAAAAGAGGUUACUGAGAGGUCAACCAUGAGAAGCAUGUCAGCACAGGACACGAACCAUGGGUUAAUAGGAAAAAAGGGUUCCCACAUAAAUUCUAAUUCUUGCACGCUGAACUGAGGUGUAAAGUGUACAGUGUGGAUCCUCAUACGAUAAUCGAUGACAAAGAUAUCACCUUUGAAGAUCACAAUCUGACGAAUAUCUUCAUGACCGAGAGCAAGAGGGUGCUCUGACCAGCAGUCUGUUCCAACCUGCCACUCAAGCAUGGAAGAUUCCGAGCAAAGGAGUAGGCGAGAGUUGGGUGAAUUGAGUGGGGCCGUAAGGACAUCUAUGCCAUGAAAGCACCAAAGAUUGUUGUUGCGUGGGAUUUUGGGGGGCUUCACCUUGGUACCGGUGUAAACAUCAAUGAGGAAGCAGUGCUCCGCGUAUGAGAAGAUAAGAUAUCCAUAUGAGCAGCCCAAAUAUCGCAUUGUAUCUGGAGUAUUUUGAGGCACCGAACACGCAAGAGAUGAGUUUUUCUUGCUUGGAUCACUGAGCUGCCACUUCCAAUUAGAUAAAAGGGUGGGCUUGAUACCGUUGCAAUGUGGACUAACAUGAGGACCAUCUGGUUUGAAGUGGAGUGGUGGGAAGCCCAAGGUAUACACAGAGGGAACUGUAGAGACCGCAGCGCGCCAAGAAUGGCAGGUGCCGAUGAAAGCAAGGAAGUCAUGGAAUGAGUUGAAGAGAGCAAUAAUUUCAUGAAGCAGGUUGUCCAGGAGAUCUGCACAAACAUAAGGUCCAGACAAAGGCGAGGAGGUAGAGGUGGAGGCACGGCAGAUGUUCUUAGAGUACCUCUCCACAGCGGCAGCUUCCCUGGCACAUAGAAAUUCAACAACAAUGAAUCUAAAUAAAGGACUGAAAAAAUAAUAGAUUUAAUAUUUCACGAGUUAAUACAGUAGAAGAAACGCCGUAGGCUCUAACUGAACAAUAAGGCAAACAGCAGUGUCAACUGGUACAUGCAAAAUUCAACCAGAACAAGCUAUGUGAGAAGCACCCACGGCUUGAUUGUUUUCCACAAUAGCACAACUAGAAUCCUUUUGGUGUCCCAUCCGUAUGUACAAUUUUUUUUUUCACUUUAAAGUCAUGCCAUCCGUAUGCACAUCCGCCCGGUAAACUAAAUCACACAAUGCGGCGAAUAAAAAUUUCCAUUACAUUAAAAGUGACAUAAUCCCCUCCCCUCCCCUCCCCUGUUCAUGUGGAAAACUCUAGAAAAAAAAGUUUUUUCCUUGCCAACAACCAGGAUGGCCACAAAAGCGUCCAUCUAAAUCACAUUUGACAUAAAGUUUCACUUAAUCAGUAAACAAAGUAGAGGUGUGCUUCGGUAGACCAACCCUCCCCCCCAAAAAAAAAACCGUAGAAGGGGAAACGUAUACCCAACUCAUAUUGUACAUUACAAGCCACUAAUGGUCGAUUGAUUGAUGCGCGGGAGGAUCUGGUCAACUCUCUUCUUAUGGUAGCUUUGGAUCCGUCCCCGUCCGCUCAGGAUAUAAACAAGAAGUGGGUAAAAAAGAGAGAGGAGCAAGUUUAGGGUGCAGACCUGGAGCUGAGGUGGCUUCUGCCGGCGGCGAGCCCGCUCUAACGUCGCGGCGGCGGCGGCUUCCGGCCAUGUCAGCGCAGCAGAGCCAGUCUACCCUAGUACCAGUUCUCGGCGUGGGGAGUGGGGAGGAUGGCUCGGCCUGCAGGAAAAUGAAAAUAAGGUUGGUAGGGCCGUGCGCCCACUGCCCGCGUCGGCCCACUUUCUGACUAUGGAAAUGCAACACCUCUCUCUCAAAAAAGAAAAUAG